GACGUAGGGUGCGAGCGUUGUCCGGAUUUAUUGGGCGUAAAGAGCUCGUAGGCGGCUCGUCGCGUCGACCGUGAAACCCGCGGCUUAACUGCGGGCUUGCGGUUGAUACGGGCGGGCUAGAGUUCGGUAGGGGAGACUGGAAUUCCUGGUGUAGCGGUGAAAUGCGCAGAUAUCGGGAAGAACACCCGUGGCGAAGGCGGUUCUCUGGGACGGUACUGACGCUGAGACGCGAAAGCGUGGGGAGCGAACAGG
rnacentral:rRNA from 1 species